rnacentral:tRNA from 1 species
GCCAACGUAGCUCAAUGGUAGAGCACUGGUUUUGUAAACCUGAGGUUGGGGGUUCAAGUCCCCCCGUUGGCU